GACGAACGCUGGCGGCGUGCCUAAUACAUGCAAGUAGAACGCUGAAGGAGGAGCUUGCUUCUCUGGAUGAGUUGCGAACGGGUGAGUAACGCGUAGGUAACCUGCCUGGUAGCGGGGGAUAACUAUUGGAAACGAUAGCUAAUACCGCAUAACAGUAGAUAUCGCAUGAUAUCUACUUGAAAGGUGCAAUUGCAUCACUACCAGAUGGACCUGCGUUGUAUUAGCUAGUUGGUGAGGUAACGGCUCACCAAGGCGACGAUACAUAGCCGACCUGAGAGGGUGAUCGGCCACACUGGGACUGAGACACGGCCCAGACUCCUACGGGAGGCAGCAGUAGGGAAUCUUCGGCAAUGGACGGAAGUCUGACCGAGCAACGCCGCGUGAGUGAAGAAGGGUUUCGGAUCGGAAAGCUCUGUUGUAAGAGAAGAACGAGUGUGAGAGUGGAAAGUUCACACUGUGACGGUAUCUUACCAGAAAGGGACGGCUAACUACGUG
rnacentral:rRNA from 1 species